GUUGGGUAGGGGAGCGUUCUGUAAGCCUGUGAAGGUGGCCUGUGAGGGUUGCUGGAGGUAUCAGAAGUGCGAAUGCUGACAUAAGUAACGAUAAAGCGGGUGAAAAGCCCGCUCGCCGGAAGACCAAGGGUUCCUGUCCAACGUUAAUCGGGGCAGGGUGAGUCGACCCCUAAGGCGAGGCCGAAAGGCGUAGUCGAUGGGAAACGGGUUAAUAUUCCCGUACUUGGUGUUACUGCGAAGGGGGGACGGAGAAGGCUAUGUUGGCCGGGCGAU
rnacentral:rRNA from 3 species